UACAGAGGGGGCGAGCGUUGUUCGGAAUUACUGGGCGUAAAGGGCGCGUAGGCGGCCUGCUAAGUCGGACGUGAAAUCCCUCGGCUCAACCGGGGAACUGCGUCCGAUACUGGCGGGCUUGAAUCCGGGAGAGGAAUGCGGAAUUCCAGGUGUAGCGGUGAAAUGCGUAGAUAUCUGGAGGAACACCGAUGGCGAAGGCAGCCCCCUGGGCUAACACUGACGCUCAUGCACGAAAGCGUGGGGAGCAAACAGG
rnacentral:rRNA from 1 species